CGUGCGUCCAAGAGGCUCUACACCUGGCGGGACGAGCACAGGCCUCGGCAGCAGACGGUACCCUGACUAGGAAGCAACAUUACUGCAAGUGGAAUGAUCCUUGUGGUGUUAGGAUGCUGUGGAAGUGAUUCUUCGAAAGCUUUAUGGUGGACAGAUUCUGCAGGUUCUGUAUGGCGACGAGAGGCGAGAUGCAAGGCAAGGAGAUGACUGCAAACCAGAAGAUGACCUUGAGGGUCAUUCUAACAGAGUCGGAUAUAAGAAAAGUCAUCCUAACCACAAGGCCCUCUACAGUCGAAGAUUUGAUAAGCAAGCUUAAAGAAUCACUGGGACUUCAUUAUAACUUCAGUCUCCAAUACCAAGAC